GAUGAACGCUAGCGGGAGGCCUAACACAUGCAAGCCGAGCGGUAUUGUUUCUUCGGAAAUGAGAGAGCGGCGUACGGGUGCGUAACACGUGUGCAACCUGCCUUUAUCUGGGGGAUAGCCUUUCGAAAGGAAGAUUAAUACUCCAUAAUAUAUUGAACGGCAUCGUUUAAUAUUGAAAGCUCCGGCGGAUAGAGAUGGGCACGCGCAAGAUUAGCUAGUUGGUGAGGUAACGGCUCACCAAGGCGAUGAUCUUUAGGGGGCCUGAGAGGGUGAUCCCCCACACUGGUACUGGGACACGGACCAGACGCCUACGGGAGGCAGCAGUGAGGAAUAUUGGUCAAUGGGUGCAAGCCUGAACCAGCCAUCCCGCGUGAAGGACGACUGCCCUAUGGGUUGUAAACUUCUUUUGUAUAGGGAUAAACCUACCCUCGAGAGGGUAGCUGAAGGUACUAUACGAAUAAGCACCGGCUAACUCCGUG
rnacentral:rRNA from 1 species